GCGCCCGUAGCUCAGUUGGAUAGAGUGUUGGUUUCCGAAGCCAAAGGUCACAGGUUCGACUCCUGUCGGGCGCGCCA
rnacentral:tRNA from 16 species